UUAACCCAUUUAACAAUUCAACCCAUCAAAUUAAAUGAGUUCAUGAGUUGACCCAAUUCAUUUUAUUAAAUGAAUUGGAUCAACUCAUGAACUCAUUUAACUCUAACCAUAAAUUCAUUGGAUAAUGAGU